UGUAAAAUGUUGGAAGCAAUAUAUAUAACACACCUCACUAUGAAGGAAAUGGUUGAGUUUGUUGAGUGCAACUCAAGCUAUGUUUUUUUUUUCAAGUAACUAUUUGUGGAUCUAUUGAGUAAAUAUUUGAUAAAUUAUCAAACUAAAGUAACAUAUUUGGUUGUAGACCCAUUGAGUGAACAUUUGAUAUAUUAUGAAACUAAUGGUUUUUUUUGUCCAAGUAGCAAAUUUGCAAUUAGGUGUAUUGAGUGAGCACUUAAUGAAUUACCACAAGUAUGGUGCUAAUUCAACGUUUUAUUUUUACUUCUACUCAGGAGGGGAGCUGUAUUAUUGCCACCAAAAAGGCACAGACCAGCCAGUCCAAGUGAAGGUUGUCUGUGGUGCUGAAGAGGCAAAUGAAAUUUUUAAGAGUUUUCAUGCCAGCCCGGCAGGGGCACACACCGGGCAAAAUAAAACAAGACACAGCAUCUCUCUGAGAUAUUACUGGCCAGCGAUGUCUGUUGACAUUAAUGAGUGGGUGUCCCAGUGCACCGAAUGUCAGGCAGCCGGCAUAUUAAUAAAAAGCCCAACAGAGGUCAUGCCUAUACAGGUCAGUUAAUCCAAAUAAUGUUCUCUAUUUUGACCCAAGGUCUAUAUAGUAUUUUGUAUGUGGCAUACUUUAUAUAACUAUUUUUCUCAGCAACAUCAGUUUAACACAAUUUGUUUUUAUAAAUAUUUAUUUAUUAGGUGUCUCAGCCAUUCGAACUCUUGAGGAUGGACCUCAUUGGCAAACUGGCUCAGACAAAAGAUGGAUACCAAUAUAUUUGCGUGAUGGUCGAUUAUUUCACGAAAUGGCCUCAAGCCUAUCCAUUGAGGUCGAAGUCUGCUGCUGAUGUUACCGCCUGUAUCCUAAAAUUCGUCUACCAAUUUGAUUCGCCAAAAAGGAUCUUGACAGAUCAAGGCAAAGAAUUUGUCAAUGCAAUCAACAAGAGAGUAUGUGAAAUGCUUGACAUAAAAAGAAGCCUUUGCUCACCAUACCACCCUCAAACUAAUGGGUUGGUGAAAAAUUAAAUGGGACAAUUCAAAGAGCUCUGAGCAAAGUGGUUUGUCAGCAUCCAGAAAGCUGGGAUGAAUAUUUGGAUGCAGUUAUGUUUGGUCUGCGGACCAAAAAACAAAUGACGACAAACUACUCGCCUUACUUUCUAAUGUUCGGCAGAGAGGCACGCUACCCCAUUCAAGUGCCAGAACACUACGAGACGUUCAAGAUGCCUGGAAGGGAAAGCACGUCCAUGUUCUCCUAUCAAAAAUCGGGGCGUACAAAUUGUUCUUUUGGGACAUUAUGAACGUUAGACCCAAUUCUGAGCUGGAAUCGGAGGUUAUAAACGCGUACCUCCUGUUGUUGGUGAACAAACGCAACCAAAUCAGCGUGGAAAAGGUUUCCUAUAUUGACUCAUUUGCAAUGACAAAUUUAUGGAAUGGAAAGAGCCAGAGACUCAAGAUCAACCCGGUGGAAUACAAACUUAUUGUUGGCAUUGUCAAUGAGCAUAAGCAUUGGAAGCUGGCGGCAAUCAUGCCAGGAGCAAAAAGGUCCUUACUAGUUGAUCCUCUUGGUGAGUCUCAAAUGGACAUUAAAAAAUGCCUGGAAUCAACCCGGGCGUUCAUGCGCAAGAAAGGGUGCAAUGUUUCCAGGUGGACUUGUGGCACUGUCCCCCAUCCCAGGCAACAAGAUUCAACCUCUUGUGGUGUAUUUGCUUUGAAAGUAUGCAUUUGAUUUA